GGCCUGUUAGCUCAGUUGGUUAGAGCGCCGUGCUAAAACCCGGAGGUCAUGAGUUCGAUCCUCUUACGGGCCA
rnacentral:tRNA from 1 species